AUAAAUGCUAAAUCUUUUAUCUUUUAUC
rnacentral:piRNA from 1 species